CACUAGAAACAAGAAGAGACAGAAUGUGUCAUCUUUCUCUCUAAAACCUCACGCCCUUAUUCAUCUCCCCUUGCUACCACAUCAAAUCUACUCUAAAUUAGCAUGCAAUUUUAGAAACAGAAUUCUCAUGAGACACUAAAGCAAGUAAGCCCUAUUUCUUUUCAUCUUUUUCCCUCUUGGUCGAACCACACACUCCUCCUUCUAUUCUUGCAAAAUUCUGAUUUCACUCAUGUAUGAAUGGUUGCAUGUGAAUGAAUCAUGGUAGUAUAACUAUGGGUUGUUGUUUAGAACUGAAGUUGGAAGAGAAAGGAUGUACUGAAGUUCAAUUGAAGUUUCAUAUUUUAGAAUUUGGGCUUCAUUCAAAUCAUUGAUAAGGGAUUGUUACUAGUAUGGUGGUCAUCACUUCCCUCAUGAACUGUUAGUACUUGGAUUGAGUUGAUGUUGUGCAUAAAGUAAGGUAAGGAACUCAGUCUCCAUUUACAUAAGUAUACAUGAGUUUUCUCUUGUUGAAUCCAAACAUUUAAUCUUAACCCCACACAUGAAUAGAUGUUUACCUCUUCAUUUACUUUGAUUGCAUGUGAUGGAUUGAGUAAUUGCAAAUUGUGGAUGUUGGAAAAUCAAGUUGAGGUUCUUAUAAAGAAUCAUUGUUGGUUGAGGUAUGAAUGGAAGGCUGUGGAAACAGAAUUGGAGAAAGUUAAGAGUUAGAAAGUACUUAGAUUUCUGGAAAGCCGACGAAAUUCUCGUCGUUUUGGUGCCGACCGCGUAUAAUUUGGAUCGAUAUUGAGGGCUGGAGACCGCUUUGAAGUUGGAGCUAUGAUGCAAAAUUAUGCAGAAAAUUCUGAUUAUAGGUUUAUAGCAUUUCAGUUGCAAAGUAUGCGUUUCGGCGAGCUCUGGAAGUGUCGCUGGUAUUGUUCAAACUUAUUUUCAGAUAAGCAGGUUGUUCGAGGAUCGUGGCCUCGAAGCAUGAAGAUUCGGAUACGUGGUUUAUAUUAUGGAGCUGACGUUAAGUUAAUCUUAUGUUUGUAUAAGAUUCAGUUUAUUUAUGUUCAAUUGUUAGCUCAAUCAUAUAUUCAUUUAUUGGAUUUUUUGUAAUCCUAUUCAUGUAUUUGGUCUUUAUGUAAUGAAAAUUAAUGUUUCCCAAUUCAAUUAUGUUCACUCUUGUCGAUAUUC